rnacentral:rRNA from 1 species
UACGUCGGUGGCAAGCGUUGUCCGGAUUUAUUGGGUUUAAAGGGUGCGUAGGCGGUUUUGUAAGUCAGUGGUGAAAUACUCUAGCUUAACUAGAGGGGUGCCAAUGAUACUGCAAGACUUGAGUACAGAUGAGGUAGGCGGAAUUGACGGUGUAGCGGUGAAAUGCAUAGAUAUCGUCAAGAACACCUAUAGCGAAGGCAGCUUACUGGGCUGUAACUGACGCUGAGGCACGAAAGUGUGGGGAUCAAACAGG